rnacentral:rRNA from 1 species
CACGUAGGCACCAAGCGUUGUCCGGAUUUAUUGGGCGUAAAGAGCUCGUAGGCGGUUCAGUAAGUCGGGUGUGAAAACUUUGGGCUUAACCCAAAGCGUGCAUCCGAUACUGCUGCGACUUGAGUUCGGUAGGGGAGUGGGGAAUUCCUAGUGUAGCGGUGAAAUGCGCAGAUAUUAGGAGGAACACCGGUGGCGAAGGCGCCACUCUGGGCCGAAACUGACGCUGAGGUGCGAAAGCGUGGGGAGCAAACAGG